rnacentral:rRNA from 1 species
AACAACCCCAUUUCUAAGGUUGACCUCGGAUCAGGUAGGGAUACCC